rnacentral:rRNA from 1 species
UAAACGCUGGCGGCGCACAUAAGACAUGCAAGUCGAACGAACUUAACUCAUUCUUUACGAUUGAGAGCGGUUAGUGGCGGACUGGUGAGUAACACGUAAGCAACCUGCCUAUUAGAGGGGAAUAACAGUGAGAAAUCAUUGCUAAUACCGCAUAUGCUCACAGCACCACAUGGUGCAGUGAGGAAAGGAGCAAUCCGCUAAUAGAUGGGCUCGCGUGACAUUAGCUAGAUGGCGGGGUAACGGCCCACCAUGGCGACGAUCAGUAGCCGGUCUGAGAGGAUGAACGGCCACAUUGGGACUGAGAUACGGCCCAGACUCCUACGGGAGGCAGCAGUGAGGAAUAUUGGGCAAUGGGCGCAAGCCUGACCCAGCAAUGCCGCGUGAAGGAUGAAGGUUUUCGGAUUGUAAACUUCUUUUGUCAAGGACGAUAAUGACGGUACUUGACGAAUAAGCCACGGCUAACUACGUG